CUUUGUUACAUAUUUAAUGGGGAUUCCCAUAUUGUCCCCACUACACCGGAGCUCGCUCUCUCUCUCUCACCCUUACACGUCUACACACACAAACACAUAUUCACACAUCCCUAACAGAAGAAGCAAUUGGAAGCAUGAGUCCUGCAUCAUUUUCUAGCAUUUGGUGCAUUUUUCACUUGGUGCUUGCCCCUCCGAUUCUAAGAUUUCACCAAAAUAUUGCAAUCUUCCAGUUUUCAAUUGCUUUGUUGACUACAUUUUAACAUUUGUAGGAACCCUUCAGUUUUUCCUUUUGGAGGUUUGUUUGUAGAAAAGUGAAUUUGAACUAUUUGAAAGACAGUGCACUGCUUGUAAAUUCACAUUGUUUGGUAGAAUUCUUUUGGAACAAAA
rnacentral:lncRNA from 1 species